ensembl:misc_RNA Y_RNA Y RNA
GGCUGGUCCAAAGGGAGUGAGUUAUCUCAUUUGAUUGUUCACAGUCAGCUACAGAUCCAACUCCUUGUUCUACUCUUUCCCCCCCUUCUCACUGCUGCACUUGACUAGACUAAA